rnacentral:tRNA from 1 species
UUCAAAUAGUUUAAUUAAAAUAUUGAUUUGUGGAAUCAAAGAUAUAAGAUUUAUUUUGAA